UCAUUUGAAAUUUGUAUAUCUCUAGAGUUAAAAGGUCAAGCAGCAAAAUUUUUACUGGGAGUUUGGUGUAUUCACUAGAUGAGUAUAACUUGUUUGCUAUAGUUUUGGUACUUUAUCAGCAAUCUUGCAGAGAUUCUUGGAUACUAU